rnacentral:tRNA from 1 species
CUGACUUCUAAUCAGGCGAUUGUGGGUUCGAGUCCCACCGGGCGUG